rnacentral:rRNA from 1 species
UACGAAGGGGGCUAGCGUUGCUCGGAAUCACUGGGCGUAAAGCGCACGUAGGCGGCUUCUUAAGUCAGGGGUGAAAUCCUGGAGCUCAACUCCAGAACUGCCUUUGAUACUGGGAGGCUCGAGUCCGGGAGAGGUGAGUGGAACUGCGAGUGUAGAGGUGAAAUUCGUAGAUAUUCGCAAGAACACCAGUGGCGAAGGCGGCUCACUGGCCCGGUACUGACGCUGAGGUGCGAAAGCGUGGGGAGCAGACAGG